GGUAAGUUGGCUAACCCAGCAAAGUGAUUAUUUUUUACUUAGUCAUCCUGUGCAGUACAAUCGUGACACGGAUUGCUAUGAAGCGGUUAGUUGGCAACAGGCAUUUACCC
rnacentral:tRNA from 1 species